GGACUACCGGGGUUUCUAAUCCUGUUUGAUCCCCGUGCUUUCGCGCCUCAGCGUCAGUUAUCGUCCAGUUGGCCGCCUUCGCCACCGGUGUUCCUCCUAAUAUCUACGAAUUUCACCUCUACAUUAGGAAUUCCGCCAACCCCUCCGAUACUCCAGCCGUGCAGUUUCAAAGGCAAUUCCUGGGUUGAGCCCAGGGAUUUCACCUCUGACUUGCAUGGCCGCCUACGCGCGCUUUACGCCCAGUAAUUCCGAACAACGCUAGCACCCUUCGUAUUACCGCGGCUGCUGGCAC
rnacentral:rRNA from 1 species